GGCCGGUUAGGUUAGCUCAGUUGGUUAGAGCGCGGUGUUGGUAACACCAAGGUCAAGGGUUCGGAUCCCCUUACUGGCCA